rnacentral:pre_miRNA from 1 species
GUAGGAUUUUAAGCAUUAAGCAUGUAUAUAGUUUUUGCUGUGCUCAUAAAGUUCUAUAG